rnacentral:rRNA from 1 species
UCCGGUUGAUCCUGCCGGACCCCACUGCUAUCGGGGUGGGACUAAGGCAUGCUAGUCUGCGCCCUCCGGCCAUGGGGAGGACGCGGCGGACAGCUCCGUAACACGUAGCUAACCUACCCUCAGGACGGGGAUAACCCCGGGAAACUGGGGCUAAUCCCCGAUAGGCGAGAGGGCCUGGAAUGGUCUCUCGCCUAAAGGAUGCGGGAACCAUGCCUUCCCGCAUCGCCUGAGGAUGGGGCUGCGGCCCAUCAGGUAGUUGGUGAGGUAACGGCUCACCAAGCCGAUAACGGGUACGGGCCGUGGGAGCGGGAGCCCGGAGAUGGGCACUGAGACAAGGGCCCAGGCCCUACGGGGCGCAGCAGCCGCGAAACCUCUGCAAUGCGCGCAAGCGCGACAGGGCUACCCCGAGUGCCACCCGCUGAGGGUGGCUUUUCUCCGGUGUAAUGAGCCGGAGGAAUAAGGGGAGGGCAAGUCUGGUGUCAGCCGCCGCGGUAAUACCAGCUCCCCGAGUGGUGGGGACGAUUAUUGGGCCUAAAGCGUCCGUAGCCGGUCUGGCAAGUCCCCCGUUAAAUCCAACGAUCUAAUCGUUGGACUGCGGGGGAUACUGCCAGACUAGGGGGCGGGAGAGGCCGACGGUACUCCUGGGGUAGGGGUGAAACCCUAUAAUCCCAGGAGGACCACCAGUGGCGAAGGCGGUCGGCUAGAACGCGCCCGACGGUGAGGGACGAAAGCUGGGGGAGCGAUCCGGAUUAGAUACCCGGGUAGUCCCAGCCGUAAACGAUGCGGGCUAGGGUGUUGGCGUGACCACGAGUCACGCCAGUGCCGCAGGGAAGCCGUUAAGCCCGCCGCCUGGGGAGUACGGUCGCAAGACUGAAACUUAAAGGAAUUGGCGGGGGAGCACCACAAGGGGUGAAGCUUGCGGUUUAAUUGGAGUCAACGCCGGGAACCUUACCGGGGGAGACAGCAGGAUGAAGGCCAGAUUGAAGGUCUUGCCAGACAAGCUGAGAGGAGGCGCAUGGCCGUCGCCAGUUCGUGCCGUGAGGUGUCCUGUUAAGUCAGGCAACGAUCGAGACCCGCGCCCCUAGUUGCCAGCGGCACUCCGUAGGGAGGCCGGGCACACUAGGGGGACCGCCGCCGAUAAGGCGGAGGAAGGAGCGGGCCACGGCAGGUCAGUAUGCCCCGAAUCCCCCGGGCCACACGCGAGCUGCAAUGGCAGGGACAGAGGGUGCCGACCCCGAGAGGGGGAGGUAAUCCCUAAACCCUGCCUCAGUUGGGAUCGAGGGCUGCAACUCGCCCUCGUGAAUCCUGGAAUCCCUAGUAACCGCGCGUCAUCAACGCGCGGUGAAUACAUCCCCGCUCCUUGCACACACCGCCCGUCGCUCCAUCCGAGUGGGGCUCGGGUGAGGCUCGGUCCGUUGGGCCGUGUCGAACCCGAGUUCCGCAAGGAGGGAGAAGUCGUAACAAGGUAGCC